rnacentral:rRNA from 1 species
UUGAGGAAGGAGAAGUCGUAACAAGGUUUCGUAGGUGAACCUGCGGAAGGAUCAUUG